AUGGUUUUCUGGCCCAGCUAUAAAAACACCGACAGCAUUGAAAGGGCCGCUUUAAAUGAGGAGCAGCAUGAGCCAAACUGGCCAAGAUUUGACGUUUCUGUUGUCCGAACUUGUGACAACUACAAAGACGCAUUAAAAAUAAUGCAACAAUAUGGAAAGGGCUGCGACACCUCAGACCUGCAAUCUGAGGCAGAGAACGAGGAGCUGCCAGAAAAAAGGAACAGGAAGCCAGUCCAUCGUCUCGGGGACUCAGAUGAUAGCGAAGAAGACCCGGGAAAUAGUGACCUCACAUCUCUGGGGUUGGCAAGCCA